AACGAACGCUGGCGGCAGGCCUAACACAUGCAAGUCGAGCGAGGACUUCGGUUCUAGCGGCGGACGGGUGAGUAACGCGUGGGAAUGUGCCCUUCUCUACGGAAUAGCCCUGGGAAACUGGGAGUAAUACCGUAUACGCCCUAUUGGGGAAAGAUUUAUCGGAGAAGGAUCAGCCCGCGUUGGAUUAGGUAGUUGGUGGGGUAAUGGCCUACCAAGCCGACGAUCCAUAGCUGGUUUGAGAGGAUGAUCAGCCACACUGGGACUGAGACACGGCCCAGACUCCUACGGGAGGCAGCAGUGGGGAACCUUAGACAAUGGGGGCAACCCUGAUCGAGCCAUGCCGCGUGAAUGAUGAAAGCCUUAGGGUUGAAAAGCUCUUUCAGCUGGGAAGAUAAUGACGGUACCAGCAGAAGAAGCCCCGGCUAACUCCGUG
rnacentral:rRNA from 1 species